GCUAUCUUCAAAUCUGCUGGGGCUGUUCAUUAACAUUUCUUUGGGAUGGACUUUGGGCCUAGGGCUUUUCUUGGGACUUCAUUAACAUUUUAAGAGUUGCUCAACUCUUCCGGAAAUUUAUUCUCAACAUGGCCUCCAUUUUAGACUUCACUGGAUAUUAGACCUGAUUUACCUAACUACACUGACUGCCUAAUUUUAAAUCUGGCUUCACUUACAUGAUAUUGAUGGGAUUAUACAUUAGUACAGCCAUUAUGGAAAUAAGUAUGGAGUUUCUUCAAAAGACUAGAAUUUGGAGCCACUAUAUGACCUUGCUGUAUCAUCACCCUGUAUUUUAUCCAGAAGAAAUAAAGACAGCAUAAUAUACCAAUAAAUACAUUCCUAUGUUUAUAGCAACAUAGUUGACAAUAGCCAAACUAUGGAACCAGCCUAGGUGUCCAUCAACAAAUGAAGUAAAUAUACACAAUGGAGUUCUACUCAGCAAUAAAAAAGAACAAAAUUGUGUCAUUUUUAGGAAAAUAGAUGGAACUAGAGAGCAUCACCCUGUUAAAUGAAAUAAGCCAGACUCAGGAAGUCAGGUGUUAUUUUUUCUCAUAAAUGGAAGCUAGAGAGAAAAAAGAAGUCUUAUGAAAAUAGAAGAGAGCUCAAUAGGAUAAAGGAAGAGGAUCAACAGGAGGGGAGUACAAGAGAAGGUCCUAGGGAAUGAAAUUGAAAUUGAACCAAUGAUAUGCACAUAUGUGUUGGGAAAAGUAUAAACGGCAGCCAUACCCCAGAGAAAAAAACCCAACAUGGCGCCUAAGGACCUGUUCUUCCUACCUUCUUCUUUUCUGCAGUGGCGUGAAAAAUUCCCGCCCGUGUGAACUCUCCCGCCGGCGCCAAUUUCAAAUCCUGCUGGUGGGGAACCUUAGCUCCAAUGAGAACUAAUUCCUGGGCUCCGGAGCUGAUAUCUGGAAGAACUUGCCAAUAAACGGGUUGCCUGCCAUUUAUCUAAGCCCUACCAUCUCCCCCUUAGUUCUAUAUAAGCACACAGCUUUUUGCAAUAAAAUUGGAAUUCUCCUGGCGAAGUGUCUUUGCGUGGGGAAUUCUUUCAAUAUGAAUAUAUAACAAUGAAUUCUCUAUUAUGCAUAGUUAUUAUGUGUCAAUAAUUU
rnacentral:lncRNA from 1 species